rnacentral:lncRNA from 1 species
UGUCAGCUUGUGUAGGGGAAGGCCCGGCAAUUGAAGGCUGAUCUGUCGCCUGAGUUCUGCAGAGCUGACCUCCACUGUCCAGGAACUCGCAUCUCGCAGUCACUCGGUGGGUAUCAGGUUGCAGAGGAAAGAGAACAGCCUUAUAAAGCCAUCCAGCGGCUCCAGGCAAGGACAGCUCCUCUUCCCAGAGAGGCAGGGACAAAAUACAUUGAAACAAAUUGUUAGAUUAAAAUAUAAAUGCUGGAGUUCCCGUUGUGGCUCAUCAGGUUAAGAACCUGACUAGUAUUGGAGUUCCCGUCCUAGCUCAGAGGUAAUGAACCCAACUAGUAUCCAUGAGAAUCCCUGGCCUCACUCAGUGGAUUAAGGAUCUGGUGUUGCCAAAAGCUGCUGUGUAAGUCACAGAUGCAACUUGGAUCUCACGUGGCUGUGGCAUAGGUUGGUGGCUGCAGCUCUGAUUUGACCCCUAGCCUGGAAACGUCCAGAUGCCAUGUGUAUAUAUAGACACACACACACACGGAUAUGCAAAUGCCAUAGACUCCCUGGCUUCUGGGAUUUGUGGCAUUUGUUGUCAUUUCUUUAUUUUUUUGGCCACACCUGUGGCAUGCAGAAGGUCCCAGGCCCGGGAUCAAACCCACCCACAGCUGUGACCUGAGCCACAGCAGUGACAAUGCUGGAUUCUUAACCCACAGAGGCACCAGGGGAACCCCAAUUUCCUGUCAUUUCUGAAUAAUCAGACUAAGACAAGGACCACUCCAGGGAGUGGUUACACUGAGCGGAUCUCCCAUUUAGCUUAAUCCAUCCAAGUCAAGCUUAUUAUCAAGUCUUCAGGUCAGAUUUAAAGAACUAGAGUGUGUGUGUGUGUAUCUAGAAAGAUGGCUGAACAGCGCUUGGAAUCAAGAUUUCACGUUUUACUUACAUAUUAUUAUUAUUGCCUUUUAGGGCUGCACCCGAAGCAUAUGGAUGUUCCCAGGCUAGGGGUCUAAUCGGAGCUGUAGCCACCAGCCUACAGCCACAGCCACAGCCACACCUGAUCCGAGCCGCAUCUGCGACCUACACCACAGCUCACGGCAACACCGGAUCCUUGACCCAUUGAUCGAGGCCAGGGAUUGAACCCGCCACCUCAUGAUUCCUAAUCGGAUUCCUUUCUGCUGUGCCAUGACGGGAACUCCUGAAUGGGUUUUUUUUGGUUGUUGUUGUUUUUUUGGGUUUUUUUGGCCUUAAUCACCCUCCAUAAUAGACAAGGGCUAUAAAUCCCAUUUUAUAGAUAAAGAAACUGAUGCCCAGAGAUGUUAAAUUACUCACCCCAGAAUGGAGACAAGAACCUGGAUCUUCCAGGCCCUGGUGUCUUCCCCACCUGACCCAAUCCUUUCAUUUUCAUUCUUUUUAGUCUUGCACACAGCUCGCUGGCAAGGCCAGAGGGUCCUGGCUCCUCGUUGAACUUACAUACUCCUCCACAAACCCUUCAUUAAAAAAACACAUGGCAGGAGUUCCCGUCGUGGCGCAGUGGCUAACGAAUCUGACUAGGAACCAUGAGGUUUCGGGUUCCAUCCCUGGCCUUGCUCCGGGGGCUAAGGAUCCAUCGUUGCCGUGAGCUGUGGUGUAGGUCACAGACACAGCUUGGAUCCUGCAGUGCUGUGGCCCUGGCGUAGGUCGGCGGCUACAGUUCCGAUUCGACCCCUAGCCGGGGAACCUCCAUAGGCCAAGGGAGCAGCCCUAGAAAAGGCAAAAAAGACAAAAAACAAACAAACAAACAAAAUAGAACACAUGGCAGUCUGCUUUUUCAUUAUUUUGUGAGUGUUAACUGUGCCAAGUUGCCAUUUAGGGCAAAUAUUCAAAAUCCAAGGGGUGACCCUGGGCACAUGCCAGACGCCUCUGAAGAUUUCGUCCUGACACUCAUUCUGCAUUUGCCCAUUUUAACCUCCUGCGUGUGCUGGUCUAAUCUCUCUGGGUGCUACGAAGACAUCUCCAGCACAGACUUGGCCCUCUCUCUGGCAGGAAGCUCACACACACACACACAGGGGAGGUGAUAAAUGAAGCGCAGGCAGAGCUUCCAGAAGCUCUGAGAAAGACUUUACUUUGUGACCUAAGUUUUGCUGACUUGGAAAGUGCCACUAAGUGCUUGAACUUUUGGUUGGUUUGUGUGAUGCUCUGUUUCUUCACAAACCAGAGCACAGUGAACUGCUGCGGUUUUCAACAGUGAAACUAAAGCAUCUGGGUUGUAGGAAUUUCCUCGAAAUUUCUUUGAACCAUACUGAAACUAUCGUACCCACUCUCACCUCUGUUUCCUGUUGUCAGGGUCCACCCUGGCUUUACGGGAAACUAUAUGUACUGGUGUUGCGUUUCAAAGAAAAAUUUGGCUCACUUUUUCAGCUUUUUAAAGAGAUGCAUAAUGGCCUUAAAUUGUAAUGAAAGUGUUUUACAAACGUCUAUAAAAGUCAAAGACCUCCGGUUCGGUGGUGUGGUUACAUGUAAAUCGCAUCCCUAAGCAGCACCCUUAUUUCACUCAACUCACAUCAUAGCCCUGAUUAUUACAGAAAUGAAUCAGACGUAGGCUUUGUCUUUAGAAGGCAGCUCUGACAAAGCGAGCUUUGCGGCAAAGCCUGCUAUAAUUAUAGACUAGAAUGUAGUCCCAUAUUUUCCGUUUAUUAAACUUUUAAAAGCUUUUGAGACCAGAGGUGCACCUCCUCUGCUAAUCCAUACUGUUAAAUAUGUUUAAGGAAAAAAUAAAAA